GAUGAACGCUGGCGGCGUGCUUAACACAUGCAAGUCGAACGAUGAAGCCCAGCUUGUUGGGUGCAUUCGUUGCCAACGGGUGAGUAACUCGCGAGUAAACUGCCCAUCACUAUGGCAUAAGUCUGUGCGACAGGGUGUAAUUCCGAAUAGAAGCGUCCUCCACCUGCAGGGUGUUGGAGUGAUUUAGGGGUUUUGGAUGGACUCGAGGCGUAUCAGCUUGUAGGUGAGGUAAUGGUUAGCCAAGGCGUCGACGGGUAGCCGGCCUGUGAGGGUGACCGGGCACACUGGGACUGCGACAGGGACCAGAAUCCUACGGGCGGCAGCAGUGGGGAACAUUACGCAGUAGGCGCAAGCCUGAUGCAGAGACGUCGCGAGCGUGAUGACGGGCUUCGGGGUGUAAACCACUGUCUGUGGAGAAGAAGCGAUAUUGACGGUACCUGCAGAAGAAGCACCGGCUAACUACGUG
rnacentral:rRNA from 1 species